rnacentral:rRNA from 1 species
ACGGGUGAGUAAUGUCUGGGGAUCUGCCCGAUAGAGGGGGAUAACCACUGGAAACGGUGGCUAAUACCGCAUAACGUCGCAAGACCAAAGAGGGGGACCUUCGGGCCUCUCACUAUCGGAUGAACCCAGAUGGGAUUAGCUAGUAGGCGGGGUAACGGCCCACCUAGGCGACGAUCCCUAGCUGGUCUGAGAGGAUGACCAGCCACACUGGAACUGAGACACGGUCCAGACUCCUACGGGAGGCAGCAGUGGGGAAUAUUGCACAAUGGGCGCAAGCCUGAUGCAGCCAUGCCGCGUGUAUGAAGAAGGCCUUCGGGUUGUAAAGUACUUUCAGCGGGGAGGAAGGCGAUGUGGUUAAUAACCGCAUUGAUUGACGUUACCCGCAGAAGAAGCACCGGCUAACUCCGUGCCAGCAGCCGCGGUAAUACGGAGGGUGCAAGCGUUAAUCGGAAUUACUGGGCGUAAGGCGCACGCAGGCGGUCUGUUAAGUCAGAUGUGAAAUCCCCGGGCUUAACCUGGGAACUGCAUUUGAAACUGGCAGGCUUGAGUCUCGUAGAGGGGGGUAGAAUUCCAGGUGUAGC